UAGAGUGUGGUGUAAUAUGGUAGCACGGAGAUUUUUGAGUUCUCAAGUGGAGGUUCAAUUCCUGCGACUCUAG
ensembl:Mt_tRNA